rnacentral:rRNA from 1 species
UUGCAUAUUCCAAUAGCGGAGGAAAAGAAACCAACAGGGAUUGCCCUAGUAACGGCGAGUGAAGCGGCAACAGCUCAAAUUUGAAAGCUAGCCUUCGGGUUCGCAUUGUAAUUUGUAGAGGAUGAUUUGGGGAAGCCGCCUGUCUAAGUUCCUUGGAACAGGACGUCAUAGAGGGUGAGAAUCCCGUAUGUGACAGGAAAUGGCACCCUAUGUAAAUCUCCUUCGACGAGUCGAGUUGUUUGGGAAUGCAGCUCUAAAUGGGAGGUAAAUUUCUUCUAAAGCUAAAUAUUGGCGAGAGACCGAUAGCGCACAAGUAGAGUGAUCGAAAGAUGAAAAGCACUUUGGAAAGAGAGUUAAAAAGCACGUGAAAUUGUUGAAAGGGAAGCGCUUGCAAUCAGACUUGUUUAAACUGUUCGGCCGGUCUUCUGACCGGUUUACUCAGUUUGGACAGGCCAGCAUCAGUUUCGGCGGCCGGAUAAAGGCUCUGGGAAUGUGGCCUCCACUUCGGUGGAGGUGUUAUAGCCCAGGGUGUAAUACGGCCAGCCGGGACUGAGGUCCGCGCUUCGGCUAGGAUGCUGGCGUAAUGGUUGUAAGCGACCCGUCUUAAACCCCCGGAACCAA